UUCCCGCUGGCGUUACCGCCACACGUCUAUUGGUAACAAAUCCCGCCCUACAGUGUAAAUACUCAGCAGUGAAGUGAUCGACUUCCUGGUUGCUUCCCGGUGACGGUGAGGAAAUAGAGCGGAAAUAAUGCCGUCACAACGAGGAUGGGCGGAAUUCACACUGAGCGCACCGGAGAUCAGAUCGGGACUGCUCCGUGAUCGCACUCCACGUCAGUCCCCAAACUAAUCACACUGCCCUGCUAAUUCCCCACGGUCUGUUGUCAGCUCCAAAAUAGUGCAAUUAUAAUGCUAUUAGGCUCAGACCUCGGAACAUAAUUCGGGAAGGGGUUUUCUCUGGGAAAUGCACAACGGAAAUGUCGAGGUAUUAUCGGCAGGAAAAGGAUGGCAGGGUGAAGGAACCCUGGCUGACAACAUCUGGAAAAGAAGAAGAAAGAAGAUGAUUUAAGGUUUAGGACGCAAGGGUCAAACAGGUUGUCGUGAGUUACAAGGAAGUUGUAUGCGUCUCCUGCGACCGGAGUCUGAUGUACGGCUGACAGGUAGGAGGAGACUUUCGGCCCGUCGGCCAGUUGCUGGCUCCCCGGAGAAGGAGAGAUCAUGGCAGAUGAAGGCGGGAGAAGGGUUAGG